ensembl:lncRNA
CUUUGAACAGUCCAUGGUGUUGCAUCUGAAUUACUGGCUGAUGGAAGUCCCAACCUCAGUCUUUCAGCAGAAGUUGUGAGACCAUGGAAAUGGCAUGUAAAAAAAUGUAAAAUCCCAUUUGAUAACAUUAUGCAAUAACCAAGGCACACAUAGCAUCUGGACCUGCAUGCUGUGUUGGAUGGUCCAGAGCCAAAGGUUUCCUCUGCUUACGUUUUGCCUCCCCUGCUACAGGCACAGCCAACUCCUUUGCAAGAUUUCAGCCAGGCUCUUAGCCCUGCCUUUAAGAUAAAUGAACACAGCUGACAUCCCAGAGGGCUG